GUCAGCAGCUCCCACACCAGCUGCUGCUGUCCGGCCUCCAGCCUCCGUGCCUUCGGGCAUGCAGUUCCCUCCACCGGGUCCGCCCUUCCUCACCCUUCACGUCCAGCCCCACAGGGAAACCUCCCUCGACUCUGCACCUGCCUCCACUGCUUGUGUCCUCAUGGGGCUGUGAGGUCUUGGGGAUGCCAACGUCUCCUUUCUACCCAGUGUCCCCAGGGCCGGGAACAGGCAGUUGCUCAGUAAAUGCAGACGGAGGAAGGGAAGGAAGGAGGGAGCGGAGGAGAGGAUGGGGUGUCCUCAGAGGCCGCACCGAAAGAGCAAAGACUUUGGCAUGAGACAGACCUGAGUUCACGUCCAGGCCGUACCUGGAGGGGCCAGCGGGUUCUCAGGCAGGUGCGCCUGGGCUCCACACCUUUUGCCUCACCCUAUUUGGAGCAGGAUCACGGGGAGUUUCCACGCGGAAGGACCAUGUCUGCUGCCAAUCAGGAUGCAAGGGAAUUACACCCAGGUUGCAGAUGUGUUCUCUGACUGCUUCAUGAGCUAGGCGUGCUUAGGCAGAAAGUUCUCUAUUCUCUGAGGCUAGGGAUGGUAAAGCUGCAAGGCUCUGAGGACUGACCCUGAGCAGCGGUGUUCAAUCCCCUUGGAUGCUGAAAACGUCUUGCCAGCAAUGCCUUGCGUGGGCACCCAGUAUAUACAACGGAUAAAAACUGAGCUGCUCUGCUUGAACUGGGGUGUUGAAGGCAGUCCUGGGGAAGGGUCCAGAGUCCCAUUUGCCCUGUUGCCCUGGAUCCUGAGGAGAUGGGGUUGGGACUGCUCCUGGUGGUGGAUCAGGGUAGCCGGGAUGCAGACCUCUGUGGACAGAGCCCAGCAGCUGAUAUUUACCAGCUGGUAUGAAAGGACUUCCAUAUACUCAAAACCGCAUGCUCAUGCCAAUGCUUUUGGGCCAAUGAACUCAUGUUUCACAGCAAGAAGUCAGACUAUACAACAAAAAUGAUAAUGUGUCUUUGCAAAAAAUCUUAAUGACGUCAACCUUUUAAUGUCCCCACGGUUUCUUCUCUUAAACUUGGAAGGAUAUUUUAUUGAAAAUAUCUCUUGUAUAAAAGAACUAUGUAUAUGAACCCAGCAACUCCAUUAGCUUCCCUUUCUUCUUCUUUUGUUUAAAUUCAAGUAAAAUUAAA